GGACAGCUAGCUCAGUUGGUAGAGCAACGGACUCUUAAUCCGUGGGUCCAGGGUUCGAGCCCCUGGCUGUCCACUA
rnacentral:tRNA from 8 species